ensembl:lncRNA
GUAGCUUCUUCCAUAAAUGCCUGGUUAGGACCUCCAUCUGAUCCCCGAGGGCUCUUGGUCAGAGGUUGCAGAAUGGCUCCCAGACUUGCUUUGCUCAUCUCAAAUGCUUGUUUAAUAAACUUAAUUGAUAAUUUGGAGACUUGGGAAAUCUCACCUAAAAAUUCAGAGUUCCAGAUUCACUUGAAAGUGUCAGUGAUAAUGAGACCAUUGGGCCCACAUUCCAGGAUAGCAACAAAAAGCUAGAGCUGAGCAGAAAUUGCCUUUGAGAUGAGAUGCAGCCUCCAGUUGGCCCCAGUCUCUGUCCUAUUCAUCUCGCCUUCCUAGUGCCUUGACUGGCCCUGGGAACCUCUGUGUUGGCCACCACUGCCAUCCAGUUUUAUGCUAUACAUUGUGUCACUUGAUUAUAUGUAAUUCAGCACUUGAACACAUAGCAUCUGGUAUUAUCCUUUAAUUCAUAUACUUAAAAUAUCUUUUCUAAAAAGAGCUUAAUGCAAACUGUAUUUUUUGAAAACCGGCUAGGUACCUGUUAGUCUUAAACACCAUUCAUUUAUUCUACAAGUAUAAUAGGCACUGCGUUAGGCUUUGCAGGUAUUCAUGUCCCCAUGAGAUACAGACUCCUUCGGACAAUAUAAAAUGUACCACAGGACAGGAAGGUAGAGGAUGCUCAGGGGAGGUCUCAAGGCAUGCAGAUACAAAGGUGAAUGUUAAAGUGCCUGCCAUCAGGAGCUUGCACCAGCUAGGGUGACCAGCCCUAAAAUCAACAAUGGCAUCUACCACUGAGUGACCUAUUCAUUCUGUUAUAAAGGACAGUUCAACUGAAAGAAGCUAAGUGACUUCUUCCAACUGGGGAAAUUCCGUGGACAGAGGAAGCUGGCAGACUACAGUCCUUGGGGCUGCAAAGAAUCAGACACAACUUGGCGUCUAAACAACAACAACAACAGGUGAUGCUGGCCAUCCUGUUGUCUUUGAGACAGACGCACUCAGGCUAAAGACAUUUACUUGGAUGUUUGAUGUUUAAUUGAUUGUAGGCCCUUAUGGAGGGUUUACCCGCCCACUUUCUCAUCCAGGUCUUUUGGCUUGGGCCUACUGAUGCUACUUAGGCCCACUUGGGCAGUUUCCUCACCCCACUCAGCAUCAUCUAUUGGUACUAACCGUCCUGAACAAGGUGAGUCUACAGGAGUAACGGGGUGAAAGCUGAUGAGUUCUGAUGUUCCAGGCUGUCGAGGACAGAGCUCACUAGGGCCUGGUGGAUAUUUCAGGCCCUGGUAGAGAAGGGAGGAGCAGUUCAGCUGAGAGAGGAGACAUGCCCUGGGUGGUGGGGUUUCUGUG